rnacentral:sRNA from 1 species
GAUGAAUUUAGAUAAAGUAAUUUGUCUUCUAAACCCAAGGCAAGUGUUCAUAAUUGACAUUAGGAUGAUUUUACGUCAUAUUUUGCUUAUUAUGCUUCAUAUGUUUAAUGGCUUACUUAUUUUAUAAUGAAGCAAGUAGAGACUAAACCAGACUAAACAAAGACUACAGUUCGAUAGAAAUGAUAUGGAUGACGUGGUAUAGAGCCUAUAAUGAGCGUCGAGCUUAUACAAUGAUAUGCAUUCAUGUGUUAAUAUUUUCUUCAAGUUGUUAUAUUGUAACAUU